AGAGGCUCAGGAUACGGGGCCGGGGCACUGUCUGAGAGGCCUAUGAUUCUCACAGUGAACCGGUCUCUUUUCCAGCCCCUCA
rnacentral:pre_miRNA from 8 species